CUACAUAACAUCACGUAGAUCUAGGCCUACUCAAGUGGUCGCCCAUUCAUGUUGGUUCGGAUAGUGUAACGAAGGGAUAAGAAGAUGGGGGAAUCAGUUCAAGUGGAGCAGCCUCUACAACCAGAUCAUUGGAUGGACUAAAUAGACAGGGGUAGGCACAUUGCGGCCCGCGGGCAAAAGAGAUUUUAUUUUGUGACGAGACUUGUGAUGGUGGUUGAGCCACUGUUAAAGUUGGAUUGGUUAACCUUGUGCACGUGACUAUCUUCUACAGCCUAUUCGUUACCGUUUCAUUAAACAGGGAAUCUUCAUGUUUUAUAAAAAUUAUAU